UACAGAGGUCUCAAGCGUUAAUCGGAAUUACUGGGCUUAAAGGGUCCGCAGGCGGUCUGACAAGUACCUUGUGAAAUAUCAGGUCUCAACCCUGAAACUGCUCGGUAGACUGUCAGACUUGAGUGCAAAAGGGGUCGCUGGAACUCUAGGUGGAGCGGUGAAAUGCGUAGAUACCUAGAGGAACGCCAAAGGUGAAGACAGGCGACUGGUUUGCAACUGACGCUGAUGCACGAAAGCGUGGGGAGCAAACAGG
rnacentral:rRNA from 1 species